GACGAACGCUGGCGGCGUGCUUAACACAUGCAAGUCGAACGGAAAGGCCCUGCUUUUGUGGGGUGCUCGAGUGGCGAACGGGUGAGUAACACGUGAGUAACCUGCCCUUGACUUUGGGAUAACUUCAGGAAACUGGGGCUAAUACCGGAUAGGAGCUCCUGCUGCAUGGUGGGGGUUGGAAAGUUUCGGCGGUUGGGGAUGGACUCGCGGCUUAUCAGCUUGUUGGUGGGGUAGUGGCUUACCAAGGCUUUGACGGGUAGCCGGCCUGAGAGGGUGACCGGCACUAUUGGGCUGGAGCUACGGCCGGGCCUCCUCCGGGGGGAGGCGGUGGGGAUUUUUGCACAAGGGGCGGAGCCUGGAUGCAGCACCGCCGCGUGGGGGAGGGCGGCCUGCGGUUUGUAACCCGCUUCCGCCGGUGCCGAAGGGGGAGGGAGGGUAAGGGGAAAAGAGCCCCGGCCAAACCCGGUC
rnacentral:rRNA from 1 species